rnacentral:rRNA from 1 species
CAGACAACCAGGAUGUUGGCUUAGAAGCAGCCACUCAUUAAAAGAGUGCGUAAUAGCUCACUGGUCGAGUGACCCUGCGCCGAAAAUUUAACGGGGCUAAACAGUAUACCGAAGCUUGGGAUUCCGUGAGGAAUGGUAGGAGAGCGUCGAAUGAGGGGUGAAGUCAUAGCGGAAGCGGUGGUGGACUUCAUUCGAGUGAGAAUGCCGGAAUGAGUAGCGCGAAAUGUGUGAGAAUCAUAUUGGCCGAAAGUCUAAGGUUUUUGGAGGAAGGUUCGUCCGCUCCAAGUAAGCCGGGAGCUAAGGCGAGGCCGAAAGGCGUAGUCGAUGCACAUACGGUGGAAAUUCCGUAGCCGCCAAAAGAUUUAAGAUAAGGGACACCCUAGAAAGGCAUGACCCGGGCGAUGGUUGCCCCGGGCGUAAGGGACCGAAAUUAGAGUAGGGAAGCAUGCUGGACGGGGGGCGAGAAAAGCUUAUUGUAUAUCUGAGGCGCCCGUACCGCAAACCGACACAGGUAGAUGGGAAGAGAAUUCUAAGGCCAACGGGAGAAGGGUAGUUAAGGAACUCGGCAAAUUGGUCCCGUAACUUAGGGAAAAGGGACGCCACGGAGACGUGGCCGCAGUGAAUAGGCCCAGGCGACUGUUUAGCAAAAACACAGGUCUCUGCUAAAUCGAAAGAUGAAGUAUAGGGGCUGACACCUGCCCGGUGCUGGAAGGUUAAGAGGAGAUGUGCAAGCAUUGAAUUGAAGCCCCAGUAAACGGCGGCCGUAACUAUAACGGUCCUAAGGUAGCGAAAUUCCUUGUCGGGUAAGUUCCGACCCGCACGAAUGGUGUAACGAUCUGGGCACUGUCUCAAUUACCCGCCCGGCGAAAUUGUAGUACCGGUGAAGAUGCCGGUUACCCGCGACAAGACGGAAAGACCCCAUGGAGCUUUACUGCAGUUUAAUAUUGGGUUUCGGUAAUUUAUGUACAGGAUAGGUGGGAGACUGGGAAGCCAGCACGCCAGUGUUGGUGGAGUCACCCUUGGGAUACCACCCUUAAGUUGCUGGAAUUCUAACCUGCGGCCGUGAAUCCGGCCGGGGGACAUUGUUAGACGGGCAGUUUGACUGGGGCGGUCGCCUCCAAAAAGGUAACGGAGGCGCUCAAAGGUUGGCUCAGCACGGACGGAAACCGUGCUUUAGAGUGUAAACGCGUAAGCCAGCCUAACUGCGAGGGUGACGGCCCGAGCAGUAACGAAAGUUGGAGUUAGUGAUCCGGCGGUAUGAGAGUGGAAUUGCCGUCGCUCAACGGAUAAAAGCUACCCUGGGGAUAACAGGCUGAUCUCCCCCAAGAGUCCACAUCGACGGGGAGGUUUGGCACCUCGAUGUCGGCUCAUCACAUCCUGGGGCUGUAUUCGGUCCCAAGGGUUCGGCUGUUCGCCGAUUAAAGUGGUACGCGAGCUGGGUUCAGAACGUCGUGAGACAGUUCGGUCCCUAUCUGUCGUGGGCGUAGGAUAUUUGAGGAGAGCUGUCCUUAGUACGAGAGGACCGGGAUGGACGCACCUCUGGCGCACCAGUUGUUCCGCCAGGAGCACAGCUGGGCAACUAUGUGCGGAUCGGAUAAACGCUGAAAGCAUCUAAGCGUGAAGCCGACUCCAAGAUAAGAUAUCCCAUAGCGUAAGCUAGUAAGGCCCCUUGAAGACUACAAGGUUGAUAGGCUGCGUGUGUAAGCAUGGUAACAUGUUCAGCUUGGCAGUACUAAUAGGCCGAGGGCUUGACCAU